AAGUGGUGGUGGGGUGAUCGUCCGAGUGUGGUGAUGGUGGUGGCUGUGUGGUGUUGUGGUGGUGACCAGAUCUCGUCUCUCUCUUGUUUACUUGUUCCAGAUCUGUUCAGAUCUCCUCCCUCUUGUCUCUUGUUCCCAGAUCCGGAUCCAGAUCUAGGCUAAGGUGGAGUGUCUUGAACCCAUCUUAUUCUCCUGCACUGUAUACUCCUUUAUGUUGGAGUUAGGGUUGUUUAGACCCUGUUUGAAAGCUAGGAUGAUAGAACAUGAUUAUUGCUAGGAUGUUAGAUGAAUGGAUCACGAUGCAUAAGAACCCUCAUAUUGUUAAAUGGGACUUAGUAAACUGAAAUGGAGUUGUGGUAGUGAUGAUUGAUUGGUGAUUUAUGCUUGUAUGUUUGGAUGUGUAGUCCCAUGAGUGGUUAGUGAUUAAAGUUAGGAUGCUAGAGAGAAAUGAAUGCUAAGCUGAUAGAUGAGUAAGGAUUGUUAAAGUUAUUGAAGUAGAACUUGAGUGCGAUGUGUAUUGUGUGUGACACCGAUAACGGGUGGCAUCUAGUGAAUGAGUCCAAGUACAAGUCUAAAUGAAAAGGAAAGUGAAUGAGAAUGGGAAGGGAUAAGUGGAAAUGAUAAGGAUGUAAAAGGAUAAGUGAAAAUAUGAAAGAAUAAUGUUACGGUUAAGCAUGGGUGGGAAAGCAUAUAGAGUCUAAGGAAAGUAUGUGUGGCAGUAGUUCUCGCUAGGUAUCCAUAGGAGAUGUGGUUUUUCCCUGUGCGCAGGACUGUAAGUAGAAGUAUAUGGAUGUGGGUGUGACGGUAUUUCAAAGAAGGUUAUGCGCUCGUCUCUCGGGACCAGUAACGGGACACGUAGGGUUGUCUAAAUGAGUAGACACGUGUCCAUAACGCCCCUUCG
rnacentral:lncRNA from 1 species